rnacentral:rRNA from 1 species
AUAUUUUUCAAUGGAGGCAACUCUCUACCAGCCCUACCCCGUGCAGGAUGACAGUCCUCUGGGUUGUAUACUGCUUUUGUACCGGAGGACAAAGAGCGACGAGUAUCUCAUUGUCGGUACAGUAAAAGUAAGAACCUGCGCACACCCCGCCACCAGCCGCGGUAAUACGGAGGAGCCAAGCGCUAUCCGGAAUUAUUGGGUUUUAAGGGUCCGUAGGCGGCCUUAUAAGUCAGCGGUUAAAGGUUUUGGCUUAACCAAAAAAUUGCCGUUGAUACUGGAGGUCUUGAAUUGUUGUGAAGUAUGCAGAAUAUGUAGUGUAGCGGUGAAAUGCAUAGAUAUUACAUAGAACACCAAUUGCGAAGGCAGGUUACCAACAACCGAUUGACGCUGAUGGACGAAAGCGUGGGUAGCGAACA